rnacentral:rRNA from 1 species
UUACCUGGUCUUGACAUCCACGGAAGUUUUCAGAGAUGAGAAUGUGCCUUCGGGAACCGUGAGACAGGUGCUGCAUGGCUGUCGUCAGCUCGUGUUGUGAAAUGUUGGGUUAAGUCCCGCAACGAGCGCAACCCUUAUCCUUUGUUGCCAGCGGUCCGGCCGGGAACUCAAAGGAGACUGCCAGUGAUAAACUGGAGGAAGGUGGGGAUGACGUCAAGUCAUCAUGGCCCUUACGACCAGGGCUACACACGUGCUACAAUGGCGUAUACAAAGAGAAGCGACCUCG